GACAACUAAGUCAAACUAAGUCUGCCCAAAGCACUGUAAGACUUCGGUCUAUACUCAGUUCCUAUGAUGAUUAAACAGUGGUACAUGUAAGGAAUAUAAGAUAAGCAUUUGCUUUUAAUGAUUUGUGUCCAUUGUUUUGAGAUAUGAAUGGAGUAGUACAUGAUACUCCUCUAAACAAAGCUAAUGGAAAAUCACCUUGUGAGUGUGAAAUGGGGCCGUUUCUAGGAGAAUGAAGGAAAUGCUAUAUUCUCCAAGUUCACUCAUGAUUACCAGGAAUGUUAACGACCAAAAUGAACACAAUAGAGAAAUUAGUUUUGUGAGAGAAUGAAGCUGUGUUAUAGCUAUUGUCUCGGUUUACACCAAAGUCCGGGGGGUUCAAGACAUCAUGUCCACCUCCUGUUCGAGUAAAUCCGAUAGCUAUUAACAAUGACUGGUUCAAGGCUGAAAAAUUGCUACCAACUCAUCAUGCAGUGGAUUUUUUGCUCAUACUCUCAAAAGUCCUUCUUUUUUUCUUGAGUCAUGUGUAUAGAGUCAUUUCUAUUCAUGUGGGGGAUUGUUGGAACUCGUUUUUGACAAAGUGGUGCGGACCAUUUUUCCGAUGGGUUUUUCGACGGAGACGUCUGUCGGAAGAACCGGAAUUUGGAUACGAUGUAAUCGUCACCGUGAACACUAUGAAUUAGUGUAUUUGUUGGUCAAAAUCGGAGUUGUUUUGAAUAAGAAAUGGAGAUCUAAAGUGGAUGAUUUACAAAGCUUGUAAAGCUUUAGAUUUGGCUAAGUAUAAAAAAUUAGCAAAUAUUUCACUUUGAGUAUUUGGAUUUGAGUUUGGAUUUGCUAAUGAGACAUUUGUCUAUUAACAUAUUAUUAUAAACUUUAUUUAAGAUGAUAUUUUGUGUUUGUUUAGACACAAGAAAGCAAAUUCAUUUAAAUAAAUAUAUUAUUGUUUCAAAACAAAAUAUAUUUAUAUUGCCGUUAGUUGUUAUCAAAAGAGUCAAUGGAGAAUCAUAUCUUCAUUAUGACAUUGAUAUCUGAAUUAACUCUCCAUAAAAACACCACGUCGGUUUCUUUUGUUGAAACUAUAAAGCUGACAAUGUUAAUACUCAUUCAGCAUAGGUUCAUACGAACAGUAUAAUAAAAGAAUUCUCCCACUUGAAUAUUUGAUUCUUUAUUUUUUUUUGUCUUCUUUUCUUUUUCGAGUCGGAGAGUAUACACAAAAACUAGUUUCGUCAGGCUUCUGAUAGAGUGACGCAAAUCAUAAGAUUUUUUGCAGUUGUAUCUUGGGACUCAUUAUAUUAUCAAACCGUCACACUACGGAACGUAUUUUGAGUUAAGGAAAGAGAUAAUAUCUCGCCUCUGCAGUUGUAUCAUCAUUUUCUUAAUCUUUGGUAUAAGUUUAUCAAUUUUAUUCUUUACAAUAUUCAGUUCUCCGUAGUUUAUAUAAUACUGUCCCAUCACAAAGCUUAUAAGAAACUUUUUUAUACUUCAUUUACAUUACAUCAUCCACUAUUAAGUGUAAAUACCGCAUAGUACAGUACAAACAAAAAAAUUAUAAAGAUUCAUGAGGAAAAAAAGUUAUUACUAUGGUUCUCUUGCGGUUAUCUGCUGUUUUCUACUUCCUAAGGGACGUAGCUGGUACAAAAAAAUACAAAAUCUUGGUGUCAAUCAUAAAACUCCAGAGGGAUAUAUGAAAAGUGAAAACCAUUUGAAUAAAGAUUGAAAGUUGAUGGGUGCGGUUUGUCUUUUACCUGUUGUGUAUAGGGCUGGAGCCACUCCUUGGGAUUCUUCUAAAGCUAUUUUUUUCACCUGUUAGUGACUCCUCCUUCAUCUCCUUGCUUAUCUGCAAAUCUCUCACUGCUUUACUUGAAGCUGGCGCCAUGUGACGACCCUCUACAUUAUUCUUGCUGAUAUACAAAGCUAGAAGCAACAGAAUCAGAGCUGUUGAGAUCGACUCCCAUAUGGUGAGUGAGGAUGUUUAUCUUGGAUCUGAUGAUUUCCAGAGCAUUCACUGAUGAUUGAUUAGUCCUCACAUAUACAUAUUAGUUAUUAAUAUAAGCAUACUACAUUUGUUUACACGUAUUAGCCAAGAAAGUAUAUGUCAUUGAGAUGUGGAUCAUGUGAAAAGGCACGUGGUUACUGAUGCUGUUUCUAAUAGUAUUAGUUAAGUCCACCUU